rnacentral:rRNA from 1 species
UCCUACGGGGGGCAGCAGUAGGGAAUCUUCCACAAUGGGCGAAAGCCUGAUGGAGCAACGCCGCGUGGGUGAAGAAGGUCUUCGGAUCGUAAAACCCUGUUGUUAGAGAAGAAAGUGCGUGAGAGUAACUGUUCACGUUUCGACGGUAUCUAACCGGAAAGCCACGGCUAACUACGUGCCAGCAGCCGCGGUAAUACGUAGGUGGCAAGCGUUAUCCGGAUUUAUUGGGCGUAAAGAGAACGCAGGCGGUCUUUUAAGUCUGAUGUGAAAGCCUUCGGCUUAACAGGAGUAGUGCAUUGGAAACG